CAGAGUUGCAAAACUCCCACAAAACCAUCGCGAAUCUUACCCGUACGGUUGCCUCGGCGCUGGCGGUCCGGAAGGCCCUCGGGCCCCCCGGAUCCUCGGGUCUCCCGCUCGCGGGAGGCUGCCCGCCGGAGUGCCGAAAGCCAAACUCUUGAUAUUUUAUGUCUCUCUGAGUAAACUUUUAAAUAAGUCA
rnacentral:misc_RNA from 1 species